rnacentral:lncRNA from 1 species
GUCUGUCCCCCGCCCCGGCUCCGCGCUCCCGGCUCCGCAGCGCCCCGCGGGCCUCGCGCUCGCAGGCCUCGGGUACCGGCCGCGCCGUCUGCCCAUCCCGACGGCGGCCCGGCGUGGGGAAGCAACGGUGGCAGGGACAGGAUGGAAGGGCCGCGCUCCGCAUCCUACUGGGAGGGGACGAGUUCAGGCUGCGGCGGCUGCGGUCGCGGGACACUGGGCGCUCCCGGCCUGGCUCCGGGAUAACCGGGCGGGGCCUGGGCCAUUCACUGCCUCGGUUUCCCCCGGUUGGCCUCGCGCGUAGGCGCCGGCGCCCCCAUCCCCGCCCAGAG